rnacentral:rRNA from 1 species
GGACGGGGGUCGUUUACUAUGCAGUCGAACGGCAGCACGGGCUUCGGCUUGGUGGCAAGUGGCGAACGGGUGAGUUAUAUAUCGGAACGUACCCAGAGUGGGGGAUAACGUAGCGAAAGUUACGCUAAUACCGCAUACGAUCUAUGGAUGAAAGUGGGGGAUCGCAAGACCUCAUGCUCCUGGAGCGGCCGAUAUCUGAUUAGCUAGUUGGUGAGGUAAAGGCUCACCAAGGCGACGAUCAGUAGCUGGUCUGAGAGGACGACCAGCCACACUGGAACUGAGACACGGUCCCAGACUCUAUACGGGAGGCAGCAGUGGGGAAUUUUGGACAAUGGGCGCAAGUUUAUCCCAGCAUUGCCGCGUGAGUAAGGAGGGCUUUCGGGUUUUAAGGUUUUUUUGUCAGGAAGGAACGGUGGGAGCCAAUAAUCUCCGCUUAUGGAGGUUCCUUGAGGAUUAGCCACCGCUUACUUACGGCCAACCGGCGGCGGAAUUCCGAGGGGGGCAACCUUAAUUCGAAUUUCCGGGCCGUAAGGGGCGCCGGCCGGUUUUUUAAGUCUAAGGCGAAACCCCCGGUCUCAACUUGGGAUUGCGCGUUGAGACUUCCAAGCUUUGAAUCUGGAGAGAGGGGUAGGAUUUCAAGUGUUAGAAGUAAAUUCCGAGAGGUUGGAGGGACACCGAUGGCCGAAGCAGGCCCCUGGGUCAGGAUUGACGCUCAGCACGAAAGCCUGGGGCAACCAGGAUAGGUACCCUGGUAGUCAAGCCCUAAACGAUGCUACUAGUUGUCGGUUUAGUACUGGUAACGCAGCUACGCGUGAGUGACGGCUUGGAGUACGUCGCAGAUUAACUCAUGAUUGACGGUACGCAAGGUGAUGAUUGCCUAGUCGAUGCACGAAGCUACUACUGCGUCAGAUCUGAGACUGA